UACGUAGGGGGCAAGCGUUGUCCGGAAUCAUUGGGCGUAAAGAGCGCGUAGGCGGUCCGGUAAGUCCGCUCUGAAAGUCCGGGGCUCAACCCCGGGAGGCGGGCGGAUACUGUCGGGCUAGAGUCCGGAAGAGGCGAGUGGAAUUCCUGGUGUAGCGGUGAAAUGCGCAGAUAUCAGGAGGAACACCGGUGGCGAAGGCGGGUCUCGUGGGCAGUAACUGACGCUGAGGAGCGAAAGCGUGGGGAGCGAACAGG
rnacentral:rRNA from 1 species